UACGGAGGGGGCGAGCGUUAUUCGGAAUUAUUGGGCGUAAAGGGCGCGUAGGCGGCUUGAUGUGUCAAAGGUGAAAUCCCUCGGCUCAACUGAGGAACUGCCUUUGAAACUGUCUGGCUUGAGGCCGGGAGAGGGUAGCGGAAUUCCCAGUGUAGAGGUGAAAUUCGUAGAUAUCGGGAGGAACACCAGUGGCGAAGGCGGCGACCUGGGCCAAUAUUGACGCUGAGGUGCGAAAGCGUGGGGAGCAAACAGG
rnacentral:rRNA from 1 species